rnacentral:rRNA from 1 species
UAGUGGCGAACGGGUGAGUAACACGUGAGCAACCUGCCCCUGACUCUGGGAUAAGCGCUGGAAACGGCGUCUAAUACUGGAUAUGAGCUCCUGCCGCAUGGUGGGGGUUGGAAAGAUUUUUUGGUUGGGGAUGGGCUCGCGGCCUAUCAGCUUGUUGGUGAGGUAAUGGCUCACCAAGGCGUCGACGGGUAGCCGGCCUGAGAGGGUGACCGGCCACACUGGGACUGAGACACGGCCCAGACUCCUACGGGAGGCAGCAGUGGGGAAUAUUGCACAAUGGGCGGAAGCCUGAUGCAGCAACGCCGCGUGAGGGAUGACGGCCUUCGGGUUGUAAACCUCUUUUAGCAGGGAAGAAGCGAAAGUGACGGUACCUGCAGAAAAAGCACCGGCUAACUACGUGCCAGCAGCCGCGGUAAUACGUAGGGUGCAAGCGUUAUCCGGAAUUAUUGGGCGUAAAGAGCUCGUAGGCGGUUUGUCGCGUCUGCUGUGAAAUCCCGAGGCUCAACCUCGGGUCUGCAGUGGGUACGGGCAGACUAGAGUGCGGUAGGGGAGAUUGGAAUUCCUGGUGUAGCGGUGGAAUGCGCAGAUAUCAGGAGGAACACCGAUGGCGAAGGCAGAUCUCUGGGCCGUAACUGACGCUG